GUGUGAUUCAGGCUCCCUCCACCUAUGCAGCCAAUAUUACUCUGCUCAAUGACGUUGCAAUUGAUGUUUCGGCCAUUCUUGAUCUGGUAUCAGUGGAAGUGGUAGCUGUGGCAACAGGAAACUGGAGAUCAUCACAGCUGGCAUCUCCCUUGACCCUUUGGACAGUCACAUUUCAACUACAAUCAGGGGACAAGCUCACCAUGGAGAUGAGCUCGAGUACCGAACUUUCCAGGAAUUCUGAAAAAAAAUCUGGCUAACAUAAGCAUGAGUGGCUGCCAAGGCAACUGCCUGAUUUUUACAGCACUGACCAUCGUACUCCCAUCUUGCUGAACUCAUUUUGAGGACCCUUGGAGAACAGUCUUUGGGCUGCCUACAUUAUGAGAGAUCGUUUCCAACCCUUUCAGGAAUGAACAAUAGGAAGUCUCCAGUUGACCAAUCACUAGUAUCUACUAAGUGUCUACUGUAUUGCCUGCACAUCGGUUAGAAUGUUUGUUUCUACUGAGUGUCUACUGUAUUGCCUGCACAUUGGUUAGAAUGUUUGGAUGACUGGGCAGUUUGCUUGGAGGAAGAUCCCCAAAGACUGUUUCUUUGAAUAGAGUGCAAAUUCCAGAUUUUACUUUUGAUGUUUUUAGUGAAUUUGAACUUUUUUUCCCCAUUUUUGAUUGAAUUAUAUUUAUAUUGUUUCACAUAUCUUUUCUGCCUCUUACCACCUGGAUUAUGAGCCCCUUAUUAUGGGCCAGAUUGGAGAUAAGUGAAGUGAUUUGCCUAAGGUCAUCCAGCAGACAAGCAGAGAAGCCACGUUUAGAACCCAGGUCAC